GACUUCACUGAACACAAAUAUUAGUGUUUCAAACAGUAAAAUGUAUUACAAUGAUGAUAUCAUCAGUAAAAAUGCAGUUUUUUGUAUUUUUGACACCCAAACAGCACUAACACUGCUGAUAUAGUUGUUGUGAUACGUUUUACGUUUUUGAAACACUAAUAUUUGUGUUCAGCGAAGUC